GGAUGGAACGCCCCAGAUCACUCUUGAACUCUCAACGUCGAGACCCGUUUCCUCGACCCGGAAACCUGCGCCGGCAACCCGAUUCCGUCUCCAUCUUCCGGCCACGACACAGCGGCAAACCGACCCCCUUUCUAUUCGUCUCCUCAACUUCGGCGUCCUCCUUGUCACGGAUCGUCCAUUCGACGACGGAACGCGACAAAACGAGGUUGAGAAAUUGCUGCAACUCCGGCGAUUUUCCGGCGACUCCGGUCACCAUUGUUGAUGCAUGAGGUAUGAAACGUGAUCUUCUCUUCGUGCUCUACAUGUUGGUAUGAAUGGAUUUUGGAAUUGAUCGAGUUUGUUGGAUUGGUGUUUUGGCUGUCGUCGGCUGAUGUCGAGGCUACUGUUCCGGCAGAGAGUUCCAGAGUUCUUUGAUUCAAUUUUGAUGAUAAUUCUGGUCCUAGAACGAGCAGCGAGAUGUGGGUUGCAUUGAAAUUCAGAAUUGGUGUGGUGGAGCACAGUCGGGUAGCAGAACAAAGAGUUCGAAAAUCUGUGAAGUACGUUUGAUAGUGAAAAGUCUGGUUUUGUUCGUACUGGAACAAGACAUAGACAUGCAAAGGGAGAGAGAUUCAGAAGCUUGCCAGAGUUGGUAAUUGGGUUCGAGUAUUCCUCGAUCAAUUCUUAAUAGCAUAGGAUUUCAACUCGGAGGUUUUAAAGACGAAUUGUGUAAUUGGACGAGGGCUGUCCAAGUUCAUUUUGAGUUCCACGGUGAAGAACGGGAGUGAUGGCGAAAUGUAUAAAGGAUGCAGAACCUCGGUGGGCUAAGAACUCCAACAAUUGCAAUGGAAAAAGUAUUCAUGGGACUCCAGUUACCCGGAACGUGAAAGAUUGUGGUGUUGGCCUAAAAGAGCGAAUGGAAUCAAAGCUACGAUAUUCCAGUUUGUGGAUGCAGGUAUUGUGUACGAAGACGGGACAGUUGGAUGAUGCUAAUUGUGGCUUAGUUACCUUGUACUUUAAAUGGUCAUCGACGGAGUUAGAUCCGCGUGACAGGUUCUCUUAUUUCUUUUACUCCCGUGUAACUUGUUUACCGAGGUUGUGAUUAUUUGUAAAAUACCUUUUUCGUAUUUUUUUCGGACUUUGGCCUUGAACCGGACGAACAUUCGAUAAUUGUUUUGAAAUGACUUGUAUUUGUUUUCUUUAAAGGAUUUCUGAUGGUUUUAUAGUUUUCACCUCA